UACGGGGGGGGCAAGCGUGGUUCGGAAUUACGGGGCGGAAAGGGCUCGUAGGUGGCCAACUAAGUCAGACGUGAAAUCCCUCGGCUUAACCGGGGAACUGCGUCUGAUACUGGAUGGCUUGAGUUCGGGAGAGGGAUGCGGAAUUCCAGGUGUAGCGGUGAAAUGCGUAGAUAUCUGGAGGAACACCGGUGGCGAAGGCGGCAUCCUGGACCAACACUGACACUGAGGAGCGAAAGCCAGGGGAGCAAACGGG
rnacentral:rRNA from 1 species